rnacentral:rRNA from 1 species
UACGUAGGGUGCAAGCGUUGUUCGGAAUUACUGGGCGUAAAGCGCGCGUAGGCGGACCGCUAAGUCGGAUGUGAAAGCCCUCGGCUUAACCGAGGAAGUGCAUUCGAAACUGACAGGUCUUGAGUAAUGGAAGAGGGUCGCGGAAUUCCCGGUGUAGAGGUGAAAUUCGUAGAUAUGGGAGGAACACCAGUGGCGAAGGGCGGCG